rnacentral:rRNA from 1 species
AACGCGAAGAACCUUACCCAGGCUCGAAAUGUAGAGGGCGAUAUCAGAGAUGAUAUUUUCCGCAAGGACUUCUAUAUAGGUGCUGCAUGGCUGUCGUCAGCUCGUGCCGUGAGGUGUUGGGUUAAGUCCCGCAACGAGCGCAACCCUUAUCAUUAGUUGCCACCCCUUAACUGGGAGCACUCUGGACAGACUGCCUCGCUUAAACGAGGAGGAAGGUGGGGAUGACGUCAAGUCAGUAUGGCCCUUACGGCCAGGGCUGCACACGUACUACAAUGCCCGGCACAAAGGGAAGCAAGACUGCAAAGUGGAGCAAAUCCCCCAAAACGGGCCCAGUCAGAUUGUCGUCUGCAACUCGACGGCAUGAAGCUGGAAUCGCUAGUAAUGGCGCAUCAGCUACGGCGCCGUGAAUACGUUCCCGGGCCUUGUACACACCGGAGUA